CUUUUGCGUGAGGGAUAAAAGCGGAAAUCCUCCCGAUUUUUCUUCGGGAGAUUAAAGCGGUUAGCCCGACCCGCU
rnacentral:sRNA from 1 species